GGGAGGGGGUUACAACUCUCUCCCCCUCAAUCUCUCCGUCUUCAACGUGGGUUAUGGAAGAAUGAAUGGCUCUCAUUCAUCUUCUUCCACAAUUCUCUCUGUAUGAGUUGGUUCUUUCUGGAAAAAGUUUACAGAGAAAAAAAUUCUUUCUUCCUCUCUAUCUUCUUUCCUCUUCCAAAACCCUAAGGCAGAGCCCACACCUUCUGUCAUUCUCAAUCUCUAAGGAGAAUAUAGGAGGCUCCGUUUGGUGGUGUCCCUUUUGGAGAAGGAGAUCCAUUCGUGACUUUGCUCGAGGGGAUUCUUGAAGAAAUGAUUCUUCAAAGUUCUGUGAAAAACAAAAGUUGGGAUCAAUCCCUACAUCUUGCUGCGUAAACCUUCAAUGGUUUUCCUUACACAACCGUCGAUAGAACAAAAACAUCGCCCGACAAUCAUGAUACCAUCAAAUAGCUGAUUACGCCCGACAAUUGGGUUUCAGAUCAUUGGGAUAGAUUCGUUAUCACGAUAGUAGUAAACGAUCUGUCGGGAUUGGGUUUUCUCCUGACGCCGCCAUUCACCAUCAAGGGAAGUUAGAUGCGCUGACGGUUUUUCCUACGUCGGGGAACGUUUCUUCAGGAAUAAUGAAAAUUCUUGUAGGGACAUGUAUGAAAGUUAAAUUUGUAGUUUCUUCAAUUUAAAUGAGUUAUGUUUGAUUUUUGUCAAGUAACAACUCAAUUGAAUUAAGUUUGACAAAUGUUUCAAUUUUUGUAUUUAUUUGAUUUAUUUUGUAUUUGAAGAGUUACUAAGUUACCAACCUAGAAAUAACAAUUUGUUUCUUCA